GGAGGUUUUAGCUUAAUUAAAGUGUCUGAUUUGCGGUCAGAAGAUGUGUUUUAGAGAUCGCAAGCCUU
rnacentral:tRNA from 1 species